rnacentral:tRNA from 1 species
GGACUGUGGCUCAGUAGUAGAGCGCUCGCCUAGCAUGUGCGUGGCCCUGGGUUCAAUCCUCAGCACCA